rnacentral:rRNA from 1 species
UCUGGUAAUAAUGGCGAGAAGGUCACACCCGUUCCCAUCCCGAACACGGAAGUUAAGCUUCUCAGCGCCGAUGGUAGUGAAGGCCUUGCCUUUGCGAGAGUAGGACGUUGCCGGGCU